GAUGAACGCUGGCGGCGCGCCUAAUACAUGCAAGUCGAACGAACAGACGAGCAUCUUGCUCCUUAUACGUUAGCGUCGGACGGCUGAGGAGUACGUAAGUAACGUAUGUUCAAGCCUGGACUAACUUCGGGAAACGGGAGCUAAGACCUGAUUACCUUUAGAACCGCAUGGUUCGAUCGUGAAUGGUAGCUUUGCUACUACUUGUAGAUGGAGAUGUGCCGUACUAUCUAGUUGGUAUGGUAAUGGUUUACCAAGGCAACGAUACGUAGCCGACGUGAGAGGGUGAGCGGCCACGCUGGAACUGAGACACGGUCCAGACCCCUACGGGAGGGAGCAGUAGGGAUUCUUCCGCAUGGGGCGAGAGCCUGACGGAGCAGCGCCGAGUGAGUGAUGAAGGUCUUCGGAUCGUAGAAGUCUGUUAUUAGGGAAGAACAGACGUGUAAGUAACUGUGCGCGUCGUGACGGUACCUAAUCAGAAAGCCACGGCUAACUACGUG
rnacentral:rRNA from 1 species